CAAUGUGGAGAAUCUAAAUUGGCAGCAGUCUUACAUGGUCUUUUACAAUUUGCCAUUAAAGUCAACACCAUGUUCUCUUCUUCCUUUGUUCCUAAAGAAAAUAUGAAUGCUAAGAUGGGGUGUUAGGAGUAUAUCAUUCAGAGAUGAAUCAAGCCCCACUAAUUAACUGUUUCAAGUAGGACCUCCAGCCUUGGAUUCCAUAUUGGAAAAGUAAACUUUAGGGGGAAAUCUCUGCAGUCGUUGAUCGAGACCGAUAUGGCACGGUUUUCUACCGAUCGAUACGGGAACGAUCCUCAUCAAAAGAAUCAGAUUCGCUCAUCGAAGACGCCAACAAUUGUGAGGUCAAGUUGUAAGCAUAAGCAAGAAGAAGAAAGAUGGAAGCUAAAGAGAAGGAAGAGAUCAUAAAUAUGGUUGAAACUAUAGGCAAGUCUGGUUCUUGGCUUUUGUGGGUGUUAGCUGUUCUGUCUUUCAUUUCUUCUUUAGCCUUCUUUUACUCUUUGUACCGGUUUUCUUGAACCAUUUUCCCCUCAUGUUCAUCAAAGAGUUUUAAUUUGUGAUUCUCUA